AUGAGACCCAAGGAUAUCGCGCCCAAGAUCUUUGAACUUUCUACAAGAAAAAACUGCUCUGUGAAGAAGGCCUUGCACAAUAACUUCUGGGUUUCUAAGGUGGAUAUUGGUGGGAACCUCACUGUUAGCCACAUAUCUGAGUUCGUCAACCUUUGGGGAAAGCUCUCGCUGGUCAAUCUCAACCCGGAGGAGACCGAUUCAAUUACGUGGAAGCUCACCAAUGAUGGCCAAUAUUCAGCGGCGUCGGCUUAUAAUACACAAUUCCUUGGGCUAGUGGACACGGACAUGCCUCUGUUAGUGUGGCAGAACUGGGCUCCUCCCAAAUGCAAAUUUUUUGCUUGGUUGGUCAUCAACAACAGAGUUUGGACGGCUGACAGGUUUCAGCGAAGGGGUUGGCAAAAUUGUAAUCUUUGUCCUCUUUGCAAGCAAACUCUGGAAUCGGUGGCACACCUUCUUUUCCAAUGCCGCUACACCAUCCGUGUGUGGGGAAUGAUUAAAUCUUGGCUCGGUUUACAAGAUGUACACCCAGCGAACUGGGGUGGUUUGACUUCGGUCAAAGAGUGGUGGCGCGCCAAUGCUUCUGGGACCUCACGACCACGAAGGGCGCUGACUUCCAUCAUGCUACUGACUUCUUGGGAAAUAUGGAAAGAGCGAAAUGCACAUGUGUUCCGUAACAACGCAAUUCCAGUGGGUGUGCUUGUUGUUCGAAUCAAAGAGGAAGCCUCACGGUGGUGCCGUGCCGGGGCAAAAUAUUUGUGUAAUGUAAUGCCGCGAGAAUGA
rnacentral:rRNA from 1 species